CUCACUCUCACUCUCACUCUCUCCUACACACACACACACACACACACACACAGUGCUCUGACAACCAAGAAAUGAUCUUUUCUCUGUCUUAAACUCAAAACGUUAAUCACUCCAAAAAAAAGAACAACAUAUCAAUCCCAUAUAAUGGCUUCAAUCAAGCCAUCUUCUCGCUAUGCCGAUGCCACUUUUUCUUCCAUAGAUUCUUCCCCCUCUUCCUCUACCGAUCUAACUCCUCAAACCCACAACCACCGCAAUCACCACCCCUCUAAUAUCUCCUCACGCGCUGUCACGCGCCCUCAAGCUCCAUCCACUACGCGCCACAAUUUAGGCUCUUUAGUCAAGAAAUUCGUGGAGCACAAAUCCGGGUCAUCAUCUUCUAAAUUAAAUCAGAAAGGAGAAUUAAAACUGGCGGAUUUUGUAGCAGAAGAUUUGAAGAAGACGGCGAAAAGGGGUACUGGUUUGAGUGCUUUGCAUAAGAAAUUAUUUAAAGGAGUGAAAAGAGAAGAAGGUAGUGAGAAGAAAAAGGCGUUGAUUGAAGUCAAAGGGAAUACUAGGACUUUAGCUAUGGUGCUUAGAAGUGAGAGGGAGCUGUUGAGUAUGAAUAAGGAGCAGGAGAAUCAGAUUGUUGAGCUUAAAUUGAUGCUUGAGGAGAAAAACAUAGAGGUUGAGAAGUUAAAGGAUUUGUGUUUGAAGCAGAGGGAAGAGAUAAAGUCACUGAAAAACUCCAUAUUAUUCCCAGAUGUUAUGAAUUCUCAACUUCAGGAAGUUUUGGAAAAGCAAGGCUCAGAACUCAAGCAGGCAAAGCAGCUUAUACCAAAUCUCCAAAGGCAGGUCACUUCUCUUACAGGCCAACUACAGUGCCUUGCUGUUGAUCUUGCCGAGGUUAAGGCAGAUAAGUACUCUAUAAGAGGGUGUUAUGAUUCUCUUAGUAGCUCCCCAAGGACACCAGAUUACGAUCAAGAACAAGCAGCGUAUUCUCUGGAAUUCAGUUCUGAACCCACAAUUCCCGGAAGUCCAGAUGACAUGCUUCUCAAGGACUUAAAUCCGUGCUUAACACCUUAUUCUACCAAGACGAAGUCCAAGGAAUUUGAGUUCAAUUCUCCAGAUGAUAAGAACUUGCUUAAAAACAAUAUACAAGUGUACUAUGAGACUAGCUACAGCUACAAUUCUGGUGCAAGCAAAGUAUCGAAAAGUUCAGAGUGUUGUCAACGUUCAAAGGAAGCGAAAAGUUCAGUUCGUGCAGCUCGCAGAUCUGAUGAAAGUAAAUACACAUACAGAAAGCAGAUCCAUAAUAAGUUCUAAGUUAUCCUUUAUCCUCAAGAUGCUUCUAAGGCUCAAAUUAUUAUUGGUGAAUGCCUAGUAGCAGAGCCAACAGGACACUUGUAUUUAUUCAUUUGAUGCAAGAUUGGUAAGCAAGUUUUUUCGCAUUUUUAUGCUGAAAGCUCUGCAAAUAGGUGAAGUAAGAGAGAAUGGAUACAAUAGGUAGUGAGUGCUACACCAUGCAAGAGAGUUUUCACAAACUUAUUUGGAUGUUCUUUGGUCGAAAAUGUCAGUAAAGAUUAAUAAAAAGCUUAGUUUCUCUAAUAGGCUCAUAAAGUUUCUGAAUUCAGUUGUUAUCUUCUUUUUCCUUUCCCUGGAAAUAUUUAAAGCAUCCAUCUAUCUUGGUAGCAAUCCACCAUUAAGUGCCAUUCUCACAACCUGAA